UAGUUCUGCUCUGAGAAUCUUUGUAUAUAUCUUUUGCUGAACAUAUGUAUACAUCUCAUUGCAGAGCAAGACCGAACAUGGCGUCCUCUUUGUCCUAGAGAAAAAUGGGCAGGAAUCUUUCAGUCUCAACAGCAAGAUCAUAAGAAGGCCCAGUCUGUGGGGGCUCCAUUCUGCCACCUGAAGACAGCUGAUUCAAGAGACUUCUCACAUCUGGCAACUCUCCUCUUGUUCUCAUCAGUGAAGCAAGGCAGCCCUUGAGCAGGUCCUCUACUUUCUCUCCAACUGUCUGGGCUGGACACCUGGAAGUGACAUUUCUCUGUUCAGUUCAGUCACAAAUGACAGAUGCAUGUGCUGUCUUCUCUAGCAACUGGACCAACCUCCUCUAUUCUUGUCACUCCCUUCCUUCAACUGUUACGGAAAAUUCUGAAAAAGCCUGGACUGGAUCACCAACGGAAAAACCAAGCAGCACUCAGAGGUCUUGGAGUAUUGAGGCUUUAUUUCACACUGGAGGGCUCACAGGCCCUCCCAAAAAGUCUGAGCCCUGAACAAAGGCAAAGGGAGCAAUUUAUAUCUUUAUGCUUCCUUAUCUGUAACAUUCCUAUGUGCACAGCAAGCGUGCAGGCAAGGGGGGAGGGAGUGAACCUUGGGAACCGGUGCUCCGCAGAGCGGGGAAACCAAGGGAGUGUUUUUUGUUGUUGUUUGUGUUGAGGAGGGGUCAGACAGAGUGGAGCCACCAGGGCUAGGUUGCUGUCCUUGUAAAUCUUCCCUAUCACAACCAGUACCUCAAACCACCAGGCUGGGCGCAGGCUCCUUGAUGGAGUCAAUUGAAAUGCUUUUAGCAGAGUUGAGCACUAUCGUUGUCCUGGUCUUCUCCCUUCCAUCAGCCUGGGCAGUCCCCAGCCUAGGCCUUGCCCAGGUGUCAUGCUGCCUGCUGGCUGCACUGGAACCCUGUCCUUUCCCCUUAACUCAGUUCGGAGAGUUGGCCACCCCCCUCCCCCAUUCCUCCUUGGGAACAAGCCUUUUGUUGGCAGAGCUGGUUUAAAUGCUUAAAGGAAAAACUCAGCUUUUUCCUUCCUGUUGAAGGGAAGCAAAGUAUGCCAUCCCAGAACAUGCCCCUGCUGCUCUGGGAGGAGGGGGUUCCCUGCUCCGGGAAAGUUCAUUAUGAAUUUGCUGAGACCCAAUAAAGACAAUAGAAAGUUGUGGGUUAAAAGGGGCUCAUACUAUGUUUAUUCUCACAGCAGUAGGUCUAGCGCUAGACUACCAUCUGCUCCUAUCUCAAUAUCUGGUCCAGCUACAGCCACAAGCAGCCCAUGGGCUGCCUCCUGCUCUCCAGCAUGAGGCUGUGCUUGUGGCUCUGGCUGCACCUCUGCUCACUCCUGCGUAGCACGGGGCUCCCCGGCUUUUCUCUUUUGCUUCUCUCCACCCCCUAAGCUCUGCUUCUCUGCGCCCACUGCUCCCUCUACUGCCCUUCCUUCCCUGCCCCUAGCACCUGGAGGAACUCUCUGGUCGGGUCCCUAAGGUGACUGGUGGACCCCGAUCAAUUAUGACCAGGCGCUUGUGUGUUUCCUGGCCACAUCUCCCUUGGGCGGGCACUACCAUGACUGACAGCCCUGUUGAUAAACAUCCUGCCGCCCGUGGGUAUGCAAACAGGCUCUUUUAUGUAUAUUCAAUGGGUGAUAUUAAAGCCAGGCAAGAAUCCUGGUCAUACAAUUUCCAUUUUCUCUACAGCCCCUUUGGCAUAUUGAUUAUUUUAAGCUGGUUAUUUUUCAGAAACAGUAGACAUAGGUGAAGCUCCGAAAGCUGAGUGUAGUAACCCUUUUGUGAGAGACAUUUAUAUUUGUAGGUGAAAUCUCUGUUUGUAAGGAUGUCCCCCUCUCUGUACUUGGAAAAGAAGGAUGACUCUAAAUCUGCAGAAACUCUUAUCAAUGCAGAAGGCAAUUAUUUAAAUCUGCAUAACAACCUUACCCUUUUCCUGGUAACCUCCCAUAACUAGUUUCCCACCCCCAACAUCUUUUGUCUUUAGUUGGAAAUGACAUUUAAGGUGGUGGCUUGGGCCCUUUUGGGGAGGUGCACAAUACUUCCUGUAUACAUGGGUAUUUCUCAUGUAUACAGGAAGUAUACAUAUUAUUAUACUUUUGUUUGUUUUUCUCCUGUUAAUCUGUCUUUUUAUUACAGGCUGUCUGAGAUAAGAACUUAGAAGAGUAGAGGGAAAGCUAUUUUUUCUCCCCACACAAUGUAGGGGAAAACCCACUUCUUCCCUGCUAUGUUUCUUCCCUGUGAGUCUCCUUUACACUUUGCUUCUGGUCACCAAAUGUGUGGAGGUUUUUCUCCACAUCAGGCAAUUCUCUGUAAUACAAGCUGGAUGGCCUACAAUUUAACUCAGUUUUGACACUAUCUACCUGGAGAGAGUGUCAGAUCCCACAGGUUAAGGGUUCAGUCCAACAAGGCUGCCCCCCUCCAACACACACAUGGUUCAGAUGCCAGUUGCCAUCCCAGGUGUCACCUGUACUUUUGACCAACUGGCUAUAUACUGGAGGUUCUCACUACCCCCCUCUUGGGUUCUGUUAAUUUGCUAGAGCAGCUCACAGAACUUAAGGAAACACUUACAUUGCCAGUUUAUUAAAGGAUAUGAUAAAGGAUACAGACUGUUCAAAAUGAGACAGGAGUCCCAAAAUGGAAUCACUUGUCCUAAGCCCCACAUCAACAGACCAAGACUUAAUACCUAACCUAAUUACAAUUUCAACCUUUCCCAGGAAUUUGACCUUUAGCCAGACAAUCUGGAAUUACCUGGUCAGCACUAGUGAGGUACUCUGCCACGUAGAGCCUUUCCAUCCCCCAAAGAAAGAUGAGGCAAUCCGCUCUUUCCUUUUCCCUUCCCCCUUCUGCCUAUAAAAGCCUUCCAUUUGGUACAGCUCCCCCAAACUCCUUUCUAUUUCCCAAAUGGGAUGCUGCCUAAUGCAUGAAUCAUUGAAUA